UAUUGGUUGAGCAAUCCCAGUUUCCCAUUUAUCGCUGCACUCAUUUGAAUAUCCUCUUUGACAAAAAUUGAGGAGGAAGUUGCUUAAGAUCUGUUUGCAUUUUCAUGAUUGAGAGCAAAUGAGGUCAUUAGACUCAAGGUUAGUGCUCUUAAAUAUUUUGUGCUUAUUAUGUCUGCAAUUCCGCAGACCAAGACAAAUGCCAGAAUUUGAAUAUAAGGGUUGUAUUAGGUUUGAUGAGCUGUUUGUCUUUAUGUAAAUGUUUAUGUACAAAUGCAGCUACGGCUUUUGGUGAUCUAUACAUGCAUAUGUGUAGUCUCCGGUGGACAGGGGUGGUCAGCAGGUGCCACCCUAUAUAUUUCUACUAAUUCUCAUUGGUUCCACCUAUUUUAGGUACUAAAAAAAAGACUUUUGGCCCAUCUAAAAGUUUUAGUUUAUUGGUUUUUCUCCUCAGAGACAAGAAAGUAAAUAAACAGGUUUAAGAAUUUAACCUUAGCCCCUUCAUAGUAUAAAUAAGUACAUCAUUCAAAGUAUUUCCUCCAAACUUCAAAUCAUUUUGCCUUGGUCCCCUUUGCGGGAUUCUAACAGUUGUGCCAUUGGUCUCAUCCUAGUCAUUCAUUGUCAUGGUUCUCUAUGAUAGUAUAGAAAGUAUAUGUGUAGGAUCUGAGAGUUAAUGAAUGUCAUGUAGUGACAUCCAUGGUGCACGAUGCACGAAGGGGAGAUGUGUUUGCUUUACCUUUCAUUUAAUUGAUCUCACAAAGGUUGAGCAACCUCCUUGACGAUCUGUCCAUCCUUAGGGGGAAUCUAUGGAAUGACCAUAAAGAUGGGGAGGUUUUGGAAGAAGUUGCUUAGAACCUGUUUGUAUCUUCAUGAUUGAAUCACCACAUGAUUGAGAAUGAACUAGGGCAUCAAACUCAUCACAAGGUUCCGGGUGUCUUAGUUCUAAGAGACGAGUGACAAAGAUGGUGAUCCCUGAAUAAGUUUGGACUACUGUUUUGUAUCUAGAAGAGGAAGUUCGUGCUGCUGUAUCAGGAUGCUGUUCUGGACUUGGGGGUUGCUGCUGUUUUGGGUUGCUAUUCUGGUUUAGGCAUGCUGCUGCUUUUUUAUUGUGAACUUUAGUCGUAGUAUCAGACUUGGUGGUUUUCCUGUUGUGGAAUUUAUUUUCAGACUGUUUCCAUUGUUGUUUUUUUGCUAUUUAACGAGUUGUUUUAGUCUA